AUUGAACGCUGGCGGCAGGCUUAACACAUGCAAGUCGAGCGAGCGGCGGACGGGUGAGUAAUGUCUGGGAACCUGCCUGAUGGAGGGGGAUAACUACUGGAAACGGUAGCUAAUACCGCAUACCAUCAGAUGUGCCCAGAGGGGAUUAGCUAGUAGGUGGGGUAAUGGCUCACCUAGGCGACGAUCCCUAGCUGGUCUGAGAGGAUGACCAGCCACACUGGAACGGAGACACGGUCCAGACUCAUACGGGAGGCAGCAGUGGGGAAUAUUGCACAAUGGGCGGAAGACUGAUGCAGCCAGGCCGCGUGUGUGAAGAAGGCAUUCGGGUUGUAAAGCACUUUCAGCGGGGAGGCGUUACUCGCAGAAGAAGCAACGGCUAACUCCGUGCCAGCAGCCGCGGUAAUAC
rnacentral:rRNA from 1 species